rnacentral:pre_miRNA from 1 species
GGCUGGGUACCAACUAUUGCAUUCCGACCUGAGAUCUCUGGGUUCUGAGAUGGGACGUGGCUUCUGAGCUGGGAUGUCUGGGGUCUUGGUUCACGGUCGGGGCCUCUGAGUACUGAGC